rnacentral:lncRNA from 1 species
GCGCAGGCCCCGGGGUGGGGGUGGGGGGGGGGGGGUAACUGGUCCCAGUCCCGCCCCAGCCGGGGGGAGGUCGGACGGGCCUCCGCGCAGCCCAGAGAGUCGCUCUCCGGAGGGAGGAAAGGGCGCCUACCUCAGCUCGGCCGGGAGAACCGAACGCGCCCACCCAGGCCGAGGGCGAAGCGGUCGCUGAACUCAGUCUGCGGGAGGCGUGAGGCCUUCGGAGCGGCGGACUCACAAAGCGAACGAAGGCGCCUCUGGGGCGGAAGCAUUCAUACGCUGUUAAAAACACAAACUCUGAGGUGCCACAUUGAAAGUUAUUCACCUGGGAAGACAACCGGAGCCCUCGUUGGACCCUGUCACCCCCUGCACUGGAAUGGCCUUGUAGACACCACAAACAGUGUUGGAGGAGGAUCCAUAACCCAUUGACCCUGCUGGUGGGCUGCAUUAUUUCUGAAGAGCAACUUCUCAAUAUGUAGCAAGAGCUAAAAAUCUUUUAAGGCAUUUAAUCUAUUCCACUUUAGGAAGGAGAAAAGAGAAGGAAAAAUCAGAAAGGGGAAAAUGAACUUUGUGCAAGUAUGUAACAGCAUUAUUUUUCAUAGUGAAAAUAAGAAACAUCUCUAACGCAUAAGGAAAAUGGUUUAGGCAACUGCUCAAUGUUAGCAGAAUGGAACGCAGUACACUAUUAUGUGCAUUUUGUUGAUCCAUGAAAAUCUGUAUGUAAAGCUGUAACAAAUAAAGCUCAACAAGGGAUAAAUAUGUCCA